UUGGUCAAACUGGUUGAUUGACACUUCUAUACAACCAUCAGAGCCAGUAGAAUCAACGGAUUCGCUAUCUGUGAGGGGGCGAGCCCACCGUGACGCCUGUUUUCCCCAACGCCAUUUGACUUGCCACUUCCGCGUUGUCGAGGUAGUCGAAGUAGGACGGACCAGGCGGAUUAAUAUCUUGAAAUGACGAGCGGUCUUUGUGCUAAGCUAACGGAAUCGGAUUUAUGGAUCAAAACACAACUUUUCCUGCGAAUUCUUCGACGUUGCCUUGAUGCUUGUCUGCAUGAAUGUUUCCUUAACCCUGACCGUGACCUGACAGGCAUACAGCCAGAGGGGAUCAUACGGGUGGAUGAGAAGAUCAAUACCACUCACUGGACUAUUUCCUGGCUAGAACCGGUUACCAGGCAACUCCAGGAUUCUACUGGACAAGAAAAUUAGAUCAGGCACGCAGAGAACUGGACAGAGGAAGUGUCAUGAGAGUGACAGUGAAGCUGGCGAAUGCCGGCAACGCGAGGUCAAAAGUUGGUGAGGACAGAUCCCAGACUAUUCCUCCCUGGGACAGGAUUGUAUUGUUGGCAAGGGAUGCUUCUGUCAGUAUGUCUUUUCACUUCAUUGCCCUCCCCCUAAUUUUUUUCUACCUUUUUCACGGCUUUCAGCCUCUGUGCGAGGUCACACCAUGUACUCGGAGGCAAGGUCACACUCAGAGAAUAUGCCCACUCUGGUAGCUGAUCAGUCGUUCGGCUGAGAGGCAGCGUUCUGUUGGGACAAGCGGGCAGGAGGACCCCAUGAUUGACCCCUAGUUAAAAACACACUUGACUUUGACCAAAACACACAACCACCUCCACUAGAAUGAGAACGACAGCAGCAGCUGGAUGGCAAUCUUUCUGGUUGGGUGAUUUUUUUGUUUGUGUGCGUCACCAUUUGAUGAUUACAACUCACUCUUCGUAUAUAUAUAUUUACCUGUAUUUACUUGUUUGCAUGCGGACAGCAGCCAAGGUGUAAUGCCCCGGUAAGUCAACAUCCCCGCCUGUCAACGCUGGCACUGUUCUGCAUCCUGCCUCACACUGGGUCACACAGGCAGGUUGUUCUGUCAGUGUAACACUUUUGAGUGCAUUUCUUUUCUUCUUCUUUUUUUGUCCCGCCUUUCGUGCUGAUGGCAGAGAGCAGAGGAUUCUAGGGUGGGAUAAGAGUCAUUUCUGUCACACACAUCUUAAAGACUCAGGACUCUCUCUCUCCCUCUGCUGAUCCUCAAAGUUCACAUAUUUCAGGGCAUAAAAUAUAUUACAGUGAAAUGGGUUGACUGUAAUGGUGAAUUGGAUAUUUUUUAAUAUCCCAGUCUCAUUUUCUAACUAUAUUAAUCUGUUGAUGAAUGUUCAGAGAAAUGUACUGAUUUGACCAGUAAUCAAUUUAACGUGAGCUGAGGAAUAUAUUUAAUAAGCGUUGUAGCCUUACAUACAGCACCACUGAAAGUAAGGUUUGUGCAAAUCAUAAUUGUAUACGACUCAAAACAUAGUAUGUGAAGCCUGAAAUUGGGAUGUCAAAAGCUUGAUGUAAGAUGAAAAAACAAAAAAAAAAAAUGAAUUAACAGCCAUUAGAGGAAGAGCGGCUUGUAUCUUCAUUUUGAUUGCUAUUGACCAAUGAGAGUCAUGUACCACAUCUCCUCUCCUCAUAUUCAGAUACUGUGAGUUCAUGAAUAUUUCUGCCGUCUCUUGUCAUCAAAACUUCUGAUUUGUGGCAAAAACCUAAUAAUCCUUUUCUAGUGAGCCACUUUGUCAAUGGGUCAUUAGUAUAAAUGAAACAGGACGUAAAGGAAAGGAACAUUGGUCUUCCUUGUUAGAAGUUCAACAUUGUGUUGGGCCACUCAUCCACCCUGACCUAGUCUUUUUAAAUGCCAGAUCAUUUUCUCUUUUGCUUCAGGACAAGAGUUAUAUUAACAACAGCCACUAGAGGGCUUUGUCACUUGAAUGUAGAAACAUGUUUUUUGGACAUUUCCUGUGAUGACUAAGAGAACAGUCUCUAUUUAACUCUUCUUUGAUCCAACUCACUCUAUAAUGAAUAAUUUACACAACUUGUGGUCUCACUGGCUCUUGUGUCUUGUUGACCACUGUAACGGAGCAGAAAAGGCCUCAUCUUCAGUGUGAUGAGGUUCUGUGUUGAGCAGGGAGGCAGUUGGACGUCUUGGAAUAUGUCAUUGUCCAAGAGAGCUGUAACCUGGCAGCAAGCACCUCCAGGAUACAAGACCCUGACUCCAGGUUGGCUCCGGAGGUGUGUUUAUAUGGCUGGCAUGUUUGGUUACCAUCUGCAAGCCCCAGGGAUUCUGGCCAAGGUGGCCACUCAAGCACACACACAGAAAAACACACAGGGAGUCGCGCACAUAUGCAUGCAUUUGUACACAUUUUCCUACAAACCAUCGCUUCUGCGGCUUGUCAAAGUUUUGUUGCAAACAAACUGAAAUCAUUCUCAAUGCAAAAGAUCAAAAUCCUAUUUCAAGGAAUGCAGGCGGUGCUGAGCUGAACAAAGCCUCCAGCAAAAACUCUCUCUCAGGCAUACUCUCUCUCACUCACACACACACACACACACACACACACACACACACACACACACACACACACACACACACACACACAAUUAUCCCCUGUGAUAUUAAGGAAUGUGCCAGUAGCACUGUAGGCAGAGUGGUGUGUUUUUGGCCAUCUUAGAUCUAAGAUGUUGUUUUACUCACAUCCUCUGAUUCCUAUGAUCAGCUGGCAGAUAUACAUAAAACAUGAAAAAUAAAUGGGAUGUAAAUGUGAACAUUUGCUGUUUCUGAAGGGACAAAAGUUCAUCGCGAACAUUUUGGUGGUUUGACAGAGAUCAAUGCGAGGAUACUUCAUCGCCAAAGAAGCUUUUGCUGGAACGCCUAGAUUAGCCCCUUAAUACUGCAGGUCUAUUGAUAGAGAUUAUGAGCUUAACCCAAAAAAAAAGAAACAAGGGAUCACACAAAUUUAGUUUGUGAAGAAGAUGCCGUGAAAGGGGGACAGUCAAUCCAAGCCAUGUCCAUGCAGUUUCUCAAUGUUGAUCCACUGGUGCAGUGCUGCUGAAGAUGCUGGAAGUCAGAAUAUACAGUAAUACCACUGAAAAAGCAAACAUUCAGUGCCCCGGCUUCAUUCCUGUUUUUCUAUCAAGUGCCUGUUUGCAAAGAUGAAUGAGCAGUUAUAGAUUGUUGAAAACACGGAGGCUGAUUAGAGAGGAGGAGUUAAAUGGUAAAUGGACUAUAUAUAUAUAGAGCUUUCACGAUAUCACGAUAAUACACAUUCAGACAGUGUUGGAAGGGUCGUCAGAGGCAAUUUAGGGUUAAGUGGCUUGCCCAAGGACACAACGGCACGCUGGGACUGAACAACCAACCUUCGGGCUCGUGGAAGACCGACUCUACCUCCCGAGCCACAGCCGAGUUGAAGGCCCAAAGCUGCUUUUCCUAAUCCUGAGAUUAGUCAAAUAAUAAGAGGACUGUCUUCCUGCUCACUCGCACACUGGGACAAAACCGUGGUUUUUGGCUUGUCCUGAAAAUAGAGCUGGUAUCUCCGCUCUCUCAGAACGGUCCCUUGGCCACAGCAGUGACAGUCCUCUAACUGGGGGAGCCACAGCGAGCCAGUAAGGCUUUUUUUUCCCAGACCAGUGUUUCCAGUGGGAGCGCUGCAUAGCCCAGUGCUCGGCUUGGAGAUUAACCUACUAGCACAUUUGAAAAAGUUCCAGGCCUUUUUUCUCUCCGGCACUGAUGCAUUUGUUGUGUUGCAAACUCUUCUUUGUGAACUCAGGUUCACUUGUGUCUGGAAACAUGCACGCGGACACAGUACUACAGGAGCAUGCACAAACCUGAACGUGCACACAACUCAAGGUGUAAUUUUGAAACCUCGGGGGGAACCUUUCAGUUAUGUUAUGACAACACAAAGGGCUACAUGAAUUUGCAACAGUUUCAGUCAGUGAGGUAGCUACGACUACAAUAGGUCUGAUGGUGGAGAAAGCUCUUGUAAGAAAUAGGUGAAAAGAUUUUAUAAUACACAUCUUAUUCAUUCUAACAUGGAAGAAUGAAAGGUUUCGAUGCUCAACACCUAAAUCAAACCGAUGCAAAUACACGAGCAAAAGGGAGAAGCAGGGAAGGGAAAAUUGAAAACACAAUUAUCCGUGUCAGUUUGACCCCGAGGAUUUCAGCGUAUAAUGGAUCUAAUUCACUUGCAGAAGAGUUUAGCAGGAUGUAAAGCUCGAUUCACAGAGGACUCAGACCAUGAAAAAGCCUCUUUUCCUCCAACCUUUCACACAGACAAAAAGCUGAGGCAUCUCCACUCUUUGAUAGAAUCACGGCUUUGAAUCUGCAUGUCGGACAGAGGCACCCCGGCUAAAAACAAACACUCACCGUGAAUGAAUAUAUACGUUUGCUUUGUACUGAAUGUCCUUUCAUAGCAACGCUGUGAAAGAGGGAAGGCCAGCAUACGGUUCUGAGGACCGGCUACUUGCCCGGCAUUAGGGGGACAUUGGGGAGUGCAUCUAUUAAUGUAUUCUUUUUAAAACAGCUACUCAGUGGACCGUGAAGUGAGCCUUUUCAUAGGCGCCCAUCUCAUACUGGUGUGAAAUGAGGUGAAAAUAAGCAGUCGUAAAAGAGACAGCUUUGCGGGAAGUCCACCCCGAAUGUCUGCGGAGGUUCGCAGAGGUGACCCAAACAAAUCAGCUUCUGAAAGGAGUCAAGGGUGAAUUCAGCGCAGUGGGCAACAAACGCACACACACACGGAUGCUUCUCUCGCCGUCAGCGGAUAUGCAUGUCAGAGCUAGUGCUGUCCUUUCUCUCAUUGCAGGGCUCCCAUCACGUGCCUCCCUGCCUGUUGGGCCCGUGCGCUCGCAGGACUGUGCUAGUCCCCGCACUGCCAACUGUAACCACACUGCACUACCACCUGUCAAAUAUAGACACAGAAACAAACACACAAGGAAUAACAGCAAGCAAUGUCACACAUUGAUUCCAAACCCAAAAUACACAAUACUACUCACGACAAUUAAUAAGUUCCGAGGAACAUAAACCGAACGGCGGCUCCAUCUGCAGCAGAGAGUGGUUCCAUGCGGGGGCAUCUGUGUGCUGCAUAUUUAUCAAAGUGACAGCAGGCAUCAGGGAUACAGGGGCUCCAACAUAACCACUUACUCACUAAUGGCUUACACAGCCACGGAUCAUUAUCCCUCACAGCAUUGCGCAGCACAACACAACACAACAGUGCGCUGCAUAGCAACCCCCCCGGUCCCAGCAUUACACGGACUUGACUGCAGUGUCAAGUGUGUAGGAGGAUGAUUAGAUCUGUUUCCAGAAUGCUUCCUCAGUUUCGGUAAAAACGUCCACUCGGGUUACUUGUUAGUGUAACAGUUCGAAAUUACUAGUCCUGCUCUUACACACACACUGUGUGUAGAAUGUUUACAACAGAGGGUUUGGGUAAUAUCUUGAUAAUAACAAUGUGUAUUUUAAUGUUUCAAUGUAAUGAAUACAAUGGUCAUCUGACA